GGACAAGAUGGCGGCGGCAGCUGUACAGGGCGGGAGAAGCGGUGGUAGCGGAGGCUGUAGUGGGGCUGGUGGUGCUUCCAACUGCGGGACAGGAAGUGGCCGUAGCGGCUUGUUGGAUAAGGUUUGAUGACAAAUACACCUUGAAGCUGACCUUCAUCAGUGGGAGAACAAAGCAGCAGCGGGAAGCCGAGUUCACAAAGUCCAUUGCUAAGUUUUUUGACCACAGUGGGACACUGGUCAUGGAUGCAUAUGAGCCUGAAAUAUCCAGGCUCCAUGACAGUCUUGCCAUAGAAAGAAAAACAAAGUAGCCAAUUCUAAAAG
rnacentral:sRNA from 1 species